UACGAAGGGGGCUAGCGUUGUUCGGAAUUACUGGGCGUAAAGCGCACGUAGGCGGAUAUUUAAGUCAGGGGUGAAAUCCCGGGGCUCAACCCCGGAACUGCCUUUGAUACUGGAUAUCUUGAGUUCGGAAGAGGUAAGUGGAAUUGCGAGUGUAGAGGUGAAAUUCGUAGAUAUUCGCAGGAACACCAGUGGCGAAGGCGGCUUACUGGUCCGGUACUGACGCUGAGGUGCGAAAGCGUGGGGAGCAACAGG
rnacentral:rRNA from 1 species